UCGGCGGGUGGGGUGGGUGGUCCAGCGCGCCGGAGGGGCGCGCGGCCGACGGCGGACGCGACGGCGUUCGGGGUGCUACCGCUUGGCGGUGAUC
rnacentral:tRNA from 1 species